CAUAUUAAGCUCUGGAGGGAAGAAGGGCACUUGUGGUUGACCUGGAAACAGAAAUGGAUCUGCCUGAAGUCUCCACCACUGGCGGAGGAGGGAAGACUGACUGGGACAGACGUCCAGGAGGUGGCACUGUGGAGUGUUGGCUUGGUGAACUUGAUGACAAAGGGUGCCUGCAAAGUGAAUUCUGCAGAAAAAGAAGCUUUUGAGUUCGUGACAAGUUUCACAGCAGAAGACUUCCCGACGGAUAUAUUGAUUGUUCAUCCCCUGAAAAAUAAAAGAAAAAGAAAUCCCAGAGCCACUCUAAUUUUAGAGUGAUGAAAGAUUUUGGCAAAGAUAUCUCACUUCAGUCUCCUCAUCUGUGAAUGGAGGUUCUUUGACAUUCUCUCUGGCUCUAAUAGGGAAAUCCAUCAGCAUCAAGUUCAAUGGAAUAAUCUGUGCCUUCAACGGUACAGGGGCUUUGUAUUUCAGUUUCUUCACUCCCAGAUGAGAAAGAAUACCUGAUUGCCUUGCAUAUAAGUGAAGGGCAAAUAUCAAUAAUUAGACCUUUAGCAAAAAGGAGCUAUUCUCUGAUAAAUGAACAGUUCUAUUUCUCUGUAUUCCUUAUAGCAAAAGUUUUUUUUUUAAACUAAAGUUUAUAUCUAUCGAGAGGGUUAGUUUU